CCCACUGAAUUUAAGCACACUAGUUAGUGGAGAAGAAACUUAACAAGGAUUCCCUCAGUAACAGCAAGUGAACAUGGAAGAGCCCAGUGCUAAACCUCUGCCCCACAGUGGGGGUGCUGGAAAUGUGGCAUAGAGAAGACCCACUCCCCACUGCUGCUUAUAGCACCCAAGUCCUUCUGAUUAAGGCCCAGCCUGAUGAUGGUAUGAGGCCAGCAGCAGGCUCUGAUGCACUGGGCCUGGGCGUUAUUGGGGCCAUGUUGCUUGAGAAUGUACCCCAAAGUGGGUAGUAAACUCCAUCUACUAAGGCUAAAUACCUGCACAAAAUUGAUAGUCAACAAGAACCAUAAGGGAAAGUUAAAAAGAUAUAUACAUUUGGUCUUCAUCACCUGAUAUGGUUUGGAUCUGUGUCCCCUAUAAAUCUCAUGUCAAAUUGCAAUCCCCAGUGUUGGAGAUGGGGCCUGGUGGGAAGUGACUGGAUCAUGGUGGCGGAUUUCUCAGGAAUGGUUUAGCACCAUCCCCUUGGUGCUGUUCUCAUGAUAGUGAGUGAGUUCUCGUGAGAUCUGGUUGUUUAAAGGUAUGCAGCAUCUCCCCCUCACUCUUGCUCUUGCUCCCACCAUGUAAUAUGCUUGCUUCCUCUUUGCCUUCAGCCAUGAUUGGAAGCUUCCUGAGGCCUCCUCAGAAGCAGGA
rfam:Pongo abelii chromosome X.